rnacentral:lncRNA from 1 species
AUAUAUCCUCAUCUAUUAUAUAUAUAGAGCUAGUCUGGUAUACUAUCGGUAAUACUGAGGUCUCCGUGCUACCAAAUUGUUUUCAAUGAUGCCGCUUCCAAAACGACGAUCGGCUCCGUUAGACUUGAUCUACACUAUUGAAAGUAUUUGGAAACUAAAUUUCAUAAUGUUUCGGUAUUAUUUACUUUUCAAACGAUUAGUUUAAAAAUGAACGGCUGAAAAUAAAAAUCUCAUAAAAAAUGAUGAUAAAAGACUUGAAUUUAAGAUCAGAUGUACUGAUCUUAAUUACUCUAAAUAGUAAAAAAAAAAUUUACAAAAAUUUCAUCAGAUUUGGAUUGUUUUAUACCGAAACAUUAUGAAAUUUAGUUUUAAAUUCACAAAUGCAUUACAUCUACCAUUAAAAUUGUCAAUUUUGAGACCUUUUGAUCACUAGUCAAACGAUGUCGAAAAAUUCUGAAAUUUAGUUUCCAAAUAUUUUUAAUAUCGUAGAUCAAAUCUAAUGGAGACGAUCAUCGAUUUGAAAGUGGCAUCAUUGAAAACAACUUGGUAGCACGGAGGCCUCCGUGCCACCGAU